rnacentral:misc_RNA from 1 species
UUGACUUAUUUUUUUGCAUUAAAACUCAGAAGGUAAGGUUACUAGAGUUUAAUUGUUUAGGGCCAGCGGCUGGCGCCGGACGCCUUAAGCGUGCCGGACUGUCUGGUCCCCUGCCCACACCACGUGGGUUUAGGCAGGGGACCGCCCGCCGAGGCAACGGUUUUAAUUCAGGUCCACAGAAGGGUUAUUUGAGCGCGUGACUCGGUAAUGAUCCCUCCGCUGGUUCACCAACGGAGA